AUCAAUGGGUGGGCGACGGUGGGGAGGCUUCGGCCUGCCGGUUCCCUUGGACGCCGGUCUGCAAACCCUGCCGUCUGCCCGCCCACCCCA
rfam:Burkholderia glumae BGR1 chromosome 1, complete sequence.